rnacentral:rRNA from 1 species
UACGGAGGUGGCGAGCGUUGCUCGGAUUUAUUGGGUGUAAAGGGUCUGUAGGCGGUCUUGUAAGUCGGAUGUGAAAUCCCACUGCUCAACAGUGGAACUGCAUCUGAAACUGCAAGACUAGAGUUAGGGAGAGGAGAGGGGAAUUCCCGGUGUAAGGGUGAAAUCUGUAGAGAUCGGGAGGAACACCAGUGGCGAAGGCGCCUCUCUGGACCAUGACUGACGCU